rnacentral:rRNA from 1 species
CGCUCAGAACGAACGCGGGCGGCGUGCUUAACACAUCACAAGUCGAACGAUGAUGCCCAGCUUGCUCGGGUGGAUUAGUGGCGAACGGGUGAGUAAUACGUGAGUAACCUGCCCUUGACUCUGGGAUAAGCCUGGGAAACUGGGUCUAAUACUGGAUACUACCUCUUGCCGCAUGGUGGAUGGUGGAAAGGGUUUUACUGGUUUUGGAUGGGCUCACGGCCUAUCAGCUUGUUGGUGGGGUAAUGGCUCACCAAGGCGACGACGGGUAGCCGGCCUGAGAGGGUGACCGGCCACACUGGGACUGAGACACGGCCCAGACUCCUACGGGAGGCAGCAGUGGGGAAUAUUGCACAAUGGGCGGAAGCCUGAUGCAGCGACGCCGCGUGAGGGAUGACGGCCUUCGGGUUGUAAACCUCUUUCAGUAGGGAAGAAGCGAGAGUGACGGACCUGCAG